UUCCGGUUGAUCCUGCCGGAGGCCACUGCUAUGGGGGUCCGACUAAGCCAUGCGAGUCAUGGGGCGCCUUGCGCGCACCGGCGGACGGCUCAGUAACACGUCGGUAACCUACCCUCGGGAGGGGGAUAACCCCGGGAAACUGGGGCUAAUCCCCCAUAGGCCUGAGGUACUGGAAGGUCCUCAGGCCGAAAGGGGCUCUGCCCGCCCGGGGAUGGGCCGGCGGCCGAUUAGGUAGUUGGUGGGGUAACGGCCCACCAAGCCGAAGAUCGGUACGGGCCAUGAGAGUGGGAGCCCGGAGAUGGACACUGAGACACGGGUCCAGGCCCUACGGGGCGCAGCAGGCGCGAAACCUCCGCAAUGCGGGCAACCGCGACGGGGGGACCCCCAGUGCCGUGGCAUCGCCACGGCUUUUCCGGAGUGUAAAGAGCUCCGGGAAUAAGGGCUGGGCAAGGCCGGUGGCAGCCGCCGCGGUAAUACCGGCGGCCCGAGUGGUGGCCGCUAUUAUUGGGCCUAAAGCGUCCGUAGCCGGGCCCGUAAGUCCCUGGCGAAAUCCCACGGCUCAACCGUGGGGCUUGCUGGGGAUACUGCGGGCCUUGGGACCGGGAGAGGCGGAGGGUACUCCUGGGGUAGGGGUGAAAUCCUAUAAUCCCAGGAGGACCGCCAGUGGCGAAGGCGCUCCGCUGGAACGGGUCCGACGGUGAGGGACGAAGGCCAGGGGAGCGAACCGGAUUAGAUACCCGGGUAGUCCUGGCUGUAAAGGAUGCGGGCUAGGUGUCGGGCGAGCUUCGUGCUCGCCCGGUGCCGAAGGGAAGCCGUUAAGCCCGCCGCCUGGGGAGUACGGCCGCAAGGCUGAAACUUAAAGGAAUUGGCGGGGGAGCACUACAAGGGGUGGAGCGUGCGGUUUAAUUGGAAUCAACGCCGGGUUG
rnacentral:rRNA from 1 species